CUUUAAUGGAGAGUUUGAUCCUGGCUCAGGACGAACGCUGGCGGCGUGCCUAAUACAUGCAAGUCGAGCGGACUUGAUGGAGAGCUUGCUCUCCUGAUAGUUAGCGGCGGACGGGUGAGUAACACGUAGGCAACCUGCCUGUAAGACCGGGAUAACUAGCGGAAACGUUAGCUAAUACCGGAUAAUUUAUUUCAUCGCAUGGUGGAAUAAUGAAAGACGGAGCAAU
rnacentral:rRNA from 1 species